GUGCCAGCCGCCGCGGUAAUACGUAGGGGGCGAGCGUUGUCCGGAAUUAUUGGGCGUAAAGGGUUCGUAGGCGGUAAUACAUGUCAGAUGUGAAAUCUUGUGGCUUAACCACAUCAAGCAUCUGAAACUGUAUAACUUGAGUGGAGGAGAGGUAAGUGGAAUUCCUAGUGUAGCGGUGAAAUGCGUAGAUAUUAGGAAGAAUACCAGUAGCGAAGGCGACUUACUGGCCUCUAACUGACGCUGAUGAACGAAAGCGUGGGUAGCAAACAGGAUUAGAAACC
rnacentral:rRNA from 1 species